rnacentral:rRNA from 1 species
UACGGAGGGUGCAAGCGUUAAUCGGAAUUACUGGGCGUAAAGCGUGCGCAGGCGGUUCGUUGUGUCGGCGGUGAAAGCCCCGGGCUCAACCUGGGAAUGGCCGUUGAAACUGGCGAACUGGAGUGUGGCAGAGGGGGGUGGAAUUCCGCGUGUAGCAGUGAAAUGCGUAGAGUAUCGUAAGGAAGACCAGUGGCGAAGGCGAGUCUCUGGACAGUUGCUGACACUGAGGCACGAAGGCUAGGGAGCAAACGG